rnacentral:rRNA from 1 species
GUGGGGAAUUUUGGACAAUGGGGGCAACCCUGAUCCAGCCAUGCCGCGUGCGGGAAGAAGGCCUUCGGGUUGUAAACCGCUUUCGGACGGAAAGAAAUCGCAUGGACUAAUACUCUGUGUGGAUGACGGUACCGUAAGAAGAAGCACCGGCUAACUACGUGCCAGCAGCCGCGGUAAUACGUAGGGUGCGAGCGUUAAUCGGAAUUACUGGGCGUAAAGCGUGCGCAGGCGGUUUCUUAAGCCAGACGUGAAAUCCCCGGGCUUAACCUGGGAACUGCGUUUGGAACUGGGAGACUAGAGUGUGUCAGAGGGAGGUGGAAUUCCGCGUGUAGCAGUGAAAUGCGUAGAUAUGCGGAGGAACACCGAUGGCGAAGGCAGCCUCCUGGGAUAACACUGACGCUCAUGCACGAAAGCGUGGGGAGCAAACAGGAUUAGAAACCCUUGUAGUCC